GGCCCCAUAGUGAAGCGGUUAACACAACAGCCUUUCACGCUGUAGACACGGGUUCGAAUCCCGUUGGGGUCACCA
rnacentral:tRNA from 1 species